AACCCAUGUUGAGGGCACUUUCACAAAAGAUCCAUGAACCGUUCCCAUGUCUCAAACAAGGAUUCUAGCUCCAUUUGAACAUAUGAAGAGAUUUCAUUGCGAAGCUU